GCAACCGCGAUUUUUGAGUCUACACUCGACUACAGAGCGUUCUUCUAAACAUUCAAAGCCCAGUUAAAAGUUUUACAGUAAACAUGCCCAAAAGAAAGGCAUCUUCAGACGAUGGGAAGUCACAGAGUAAAGUCUCCAAGAAAAAGAAAUCAAUAUCAGAUGAUGAAGAAGACACAAAAGGCAGCAAGCAUAAAAAAUCGUACCCAAAACUAGUGGACCCAGCAACAAACAAAGAAACUACAGGAGAAAUUAAAUACACAGCAAAGGAACCAACACGGAACAAGAAAGGAGAAAUUGUUUUUC